rnacentral:rRNA from 1 species
UCGACCUGAGCUCAGGCAAGAUUACCCGCUGAACUUAAGCAUAUCAAUAAGCGGAGGAAUUA